rnacentral:lncRNA from 1 species
CCCUCGAGUCUACGCAGCCCAGUGGCCGUGUGUGUCUUGGCGUUGGGCGUGACGUGCAGCAACGGUGGAGUUGACGAUCCAAAGGCCUGACUCCACAGCGGUAAUGAGCCUUGUGUACCUUGCACUGUCUUCACUGACAACGCCCACUACUAACCCCUCUGCCUCCGCCACCGUUUCAAGAUCAGGGAAGGACUCUGCCUUGCAUCGCGCACUGUGAUGGUCGCCGCCCCCGCCCCCGCACCCGCCGCCGCUGCUGCUGCUGCUGCUGCUGCUGCUGCCGCGGCUAAGGGAGAAUAGUUUGUUGAGUGGAUGACGGCGCGUUCACUGACCCUCUCCCCAUCACCCUACCAACUCCGGCCACCCACCCCCCUGCCACCAGACACCUGCUACACCACCACUACCGCCGGCUCCGUCCAGUGAAAGAUUCAUCGCAGACCUGCCAUUCAACGCCUGCCGCCGCCACCACCACCACCACCACCUCCUUAUGGUGGUGUCACUGUACCUGGAGCUGUUGUCAUGAUUGAAUAAUAAAUUGUGAAGAAAU